rnacentral:rRNA from 1 species
CCAGACUCCUACGGGAGGCAGCAGUGAGGAAUAUUGGUCAAUGGCCGGGAGGCUGAACCAGCCAAGUCGCGUGAGGGAAGACGGCCCUACGGGUUGUAAACCUCUUUUGUCAGGGAGCAAGGUGCAGGUCGGGACCUGCUGUGAGAGUACCUGAAGAAAAAGCAUCGGCUAACUCCGUGCCAGCAGCCGCGGUAAUACGGAGGGUGCAAGCGUUGUCCGGAAUCAUUGGGCGUAAAGAGUUCGUAGGCGGCAUGUAAAGUCAGGUGUUAAAGGCGCAGGCUCAACCUGUGUAUGGCACUUGAUACUUGCAAGCUGGAAUGCGGUAGAGGUAAAGGGAAUUCCUGGUGUAGCGGUGAAAUGCUUAGAUAUCAGGAGGAACAUCGGUGGCGUAAGCGCUUUACUGGGCCGUAAUUGACGCUGAGGAACGAAAGCCAGGGGAGCAAAUGGGAUUAGAUACCCUUGUAUAA